GAGCACGAGCUGAUCUUUGACUCGAACCUGGACAUCGUUUUGUACACGAAGUCAAGCUGCUGUACCCGUGAUUCCAUGUAUCGAGUCAACGAUCGCCUUUAAAAAUGUGCUU
rnacentral:pre_miRNA from 1 species